rnacentral:lncRNA from 1 species
CAAAGAGGUUACAACCGAGGAGCUGCAAACAUAGCCUGACUUCAAGAGACCCGAGGGGAUAAACCGAAUAAGAAUCAAAGUCACCUAAGUCAGCUUAUGGUAAAAAGAAGCACUGGCAGUAUCAGCAACACCGGUUUUGAUCUCCGAUAUCUUCGAAUCCAUGUACUCUUUCUGUUUCGAUAUCGAAUCGAUAAGUGCAAAGAGUUGUGCAGCACAUGCUUGGACCUCCUCUUCACUCUCCUUCACUGCUUCUUGCAAUCUAAGCUCCGAAGCUUUUACAAACUCAGCAGCUUCUUUCUCCACAACCUCCAGAUUCAAAGCCUCAGCUUUCACACUCUCAACCAAUGUUUUCGCCUCCAAAUCACAUUUUGUACUCAACUCCUGAGUUUCCUUCUUCACCAACUUCAUCUUUUCUUCGAGGUCAUUGAUCUGCAACUGAAUUGACCCAAGAAGACUCCUUUUGGAUUCGAUCUUCGAAGCCAUUUCAGACUUAUGGUGCUGUAAAGUGACCAAUUCCUCCACUUUCUCCGCCGAGCUUCCUUUGAUCCCAUCGCACAACGAACACAGAGCUGGCUUCACCACCGAUUUAUAAUCCACACCCAUCACCGCUGCAGGUGUUUCCCCUCUCUCGUUAACAGCGAACUGAAUAUCAAGCUUCAAUCUCCUGAGAGCUUGGUUGCAGUCAAUGGCAAGUGUCUGAAUCUGAUGAAACUGAUUCCUAAUCUGUGAAUUGAGUUCCCAAGCUUUCUGAUCCCAACCAUCUCUAGCAACCUCAGCAUCCGCAACAUCUCUUUCCACAGCUUGUAACUCUCUUCUCAUCCUAUUUACAUCCGCCGCGCUAAAGUUCUGAAGCUCCACACUCUUCUUCAACUCCUUAUUCUCUACAGAGAUUCGCUCUCUCUCUUCUUCCUUAGCUUUGAGCUCCUUAGCUUUCUCCUCCACAACUUUCUCCAUCGCUGGAUUCCUAUCAGUAUACUCCACAACAAUAGUUCGGAACUUGUUUACGUCAUUCUCCAAAUCGGCUUUAACUUUCUCCAGAGACUCUUUCUUCGAAGGACCUUUCCUCAGUGACUCAAGUUUAGCCUCCAAUUCACCGGAGAUUUUCUCACAACCAGAGAUAGUUUCAGCGACGCUAGUCUUCUCCGCUUCCAAUUUACCCAAAAAUUGAGAAUCUAAAUCGUUAACCUUAUCAUCCUCGCCGCGAAUGAAGUGACCAAAGCUUUGAAUCGCGAAGAAAUUCAUGGAGUUAUCUUCGGGUACGGAGGUGGAAUUAGAUACUAGAUGUUGAUGGAAACGAGCAAGCUCAGCUAACCAGUGAACAACGGCGAGAACAGUAGGCCAAUUGUGAGGCGUAUUUGGAGCUUUGAGGCUAGAUUUGGUGAUCUUAAAAGGACAUUUCUGCGAUUUGAGAAAGAAGACGAGAUCCUCGUCCCAUUUGAUGGAAUCGCAAGGGUAAUCUAAAGCUGAGAGCAAGAAUUUUAGGGUUUCGGAGAUGUCUUUGACAGAAGGAACAGGAUUACCGCGGAUAGAGAUCGGGAAGUUAUGUGUGGAGAGGAAGGCGUUAAUGAAUCGAAUCAUCGAAGAUCUGUCAUCGGAGGCUCCUCGGCCGCCUAAACCGAUUGAUGAAGGACGGCUGCUGGCGAAACUGGCGUCGGAGUCUCUUGAGUUAAAGAGGUGACGUUGUUGCUCGAUUGAUGGUGGAGGUGGCGGCGGCGCUCCGCCGAAACCCACCGUCGUUCUUCUCUUUCCCGCGGCUCCGCCUCUCAUCUCUUUUUUGCUUUUUACAGAUAAAGCAACUGACACUGGAACUGGAUCGGGAAAUAUAUUUCUAUAGAGCAGCGGGAUGGAUUACUUUUGUAAUUUGAAUUUUCGAAAACCUAAAAAAACCUC